GCAGUCGAACGGUGAAGCCCCGCUUGCGGGGUGGAUCAGUGGCGAACGGGUGAGUAACACGUGAGCAACCUGCCCCUGACUCUGGGAUAAGCGCUGGAAACGGCGUCUAAUACUGGAUACGAGACGUGAUCGCAUGGUCAACGUUUGGAAAGAUUUUUCGGUUGGGGAUGGGCUCGCGGCCUAUCAGCUUGUUGGUGAGGUAAUGGCUCACCAAGGCGUCGACGGGUAGCCGGCCUGAGAGGGUGACCGGCCACACUGGGACUGAGACACGGCCCAGACUCCUACGGGAGGCAGCAGUGGGGAAUAUUGCACAAUGGGCGCAAGCCUGAUGCAGCAACGCCGCGUGAGGGAUGACGGCCUUCGGGUUGUAAACCUCUUUUAGCAGGGAAGAAGCGAGAGUGACGGUACCUGCAGAAAAAGCACCGGCUAACUACGUGCCAGCAGCCGCGGUAAUACGUAGGGUGCAAGCGUUAUCCGGAAUUAUUGGGCGUAAAGAGCUCGUAGGCGGUUUGUCGCGUCUGCUGUGAAAUCUGGGGGCUCAACCCCCAGCCUGCAGUGGGUACGGGCAGACUAGAGUGCGGUAGGGGAGAUUGGAAUUCCUGGUGUAGCGGUGGAAUGCGCAGAUAUCAGGAGGAACACCGAUGGCGAAGGCAGAUCUCUGGGCCGUAACUGACGCUGAGGAGCGAAAGGGUGGGGAGCAAACAGGCUUAGAUACCCUGGUAGUCCACCCCGUAAACGUUGGGAACUAGUUGUGGGGUCCAUUCCACGGAUUCCGUGACGCAGCUAACGCAUUAAGUUCCCCGCCUGGGGAGUACGGCCGCAA
rnacentral:rRNA from 1 species